UAACUUCAGAUAUUGAAACCCUACAGCUCUCUGAAGGUCCUCUCUAGGUUCCCACACUAUCCUAACUCAAAUCCAAGAUAUUAUAACAUCAAAUACCUGUCGGAAAGAUCGUAGUGUGAAGGAAACUCGGUUCCUCUACGUUCUAGUGGCAUUUACUUCAAGGUGAAGGAAGGUUGUGAAGGGCUGAUUCUCUAAGUUUAAGAUUAGCGUAUUGGUGAGUUUCCUGCAGUAUCAAGAAGGACGAGUACGGUUGAGGUAUUAUGCAGUUGAAGAGCAAUCUCCUGAAGCCUAUGCCCUGUGCUUAGUGAUUUAUUGGAGAACUUUCUUCCAAUAUGUUCAGCCCAGAUUUGGUAUACUGCAGCUGCAAAGCAGAAGCCCAGUAUGCAGCCCCUUGGUCUACUGCUACCUAUCUGUUGUAGUAACCAUGCAAUCUCCUAGUUCUAGCUUCUUAUAGGCCUUUCAACACCCAACCAUCUCAACAGAGCAGACCAUAUACAGUGUGAGUAAGGACAAGUGAAGAACAAAUGAUCAAAUAUUU